UACGCUCGUAGGACUCCUGUCGGAGCUUUUUUCGGACGCGGGUUCGAUUCCCGCCGUCUCCAUAG
rnacentral:tmRNA from 1 species